rnacentral:rRNA from 1 species
UGGCCUGGAGAUCAAGGGCUUCGGUCGCUUGAGGAGGGGUUCGCGGCUGAUUAGCUAGUUGGCGGGGUAACGGCCCACCAAGGCGACGAUCAGUAGCCGGCCUGAGAGGGCGAACGGCCACACUGGAACUGAGACACGGUCCAGACUCCUACGGGAGGCAGCAGUGGGGAAUUUUGCGCAAUGGGCGAAAGCCUGACGCAGCAACGCCGCGUGGAGGAUGAAGGUCUUCGGAUCGUAAACUCCUGUCAGUGGGGACGAAAGCUCCGAAAGGAGUCUGACUGUACCCGCUGAGGAAAGCCACGCUAAACUCGUGCCAGCAGCCGCGGUAA